UACGUAGGUGGCAAGCGUUGUCCGGAAUUAUUGGGCGUAAAGCGCGCGCAGGCGGUCCUUUAAGUCUGAUGUGAAAGCCCACGGCUCAACCGUGGAGGGUCAUUGGAAACUGGGGGACUUGAGUACAGAAGAGAAGAGUGGAAUUCCACGUGUAGCGGUGAAAUGCGUAGAAUAUCAGGAGGAAUACCGGUGGCGAAAGCGACUCUCUGGACGGCAACUGACGCUGAGGCACGAAAGCGUGGGGAGCAAACAGG
rnacentral:rRNA from 1 species